rnacentral:pre_miRNA from 1 species
CCUUGGUCAGCCAUGUGCUAUGCGAAUUUUAUAACAUUGCACUGGCCUGCCCGGGGGU